CAAGAAGGCACCUAGAUGACAUCGGUGUCAGAUAGAAAGAGACAGUGCUUCCUUCUAGGACUCUGCUGCUUUCCAGCUCUGUUGAAGCACCAGCUGCACUGGUUUGUUGAAAUUCAGUAAUGGGUUAAACCGUGAUGAGACAACAGCUUGUGCUGCUUUGCCUUCCUCUCCACCGUGGCUGCUUGGUGGAGACACAGAGAGUGGGGGCAAUGAAGGUGAUGGAGGAAAAUGUCUCUCUUCUCUGAAGCAUCGAAACAGCUCCCUUAAUGGCCUCUUACGUCUGGGUCCCAAGGUUUUCAUUCAAAAUGAUAAUAAAAGGACACCUCAAACCUACAGGGAAAACCCAUUCACAUAGAGCAGCUUCGAGACGAGCCUCUGGAGUCACCAAGCUGAAAAGAACCUGAUUAAUGACAGCACCUGAGAUAAGUGGCACUUUCACCAACCUUAACUGUUGAUGUAUGAUGACAUAAUGUCCCCUCCAAUUAAUGACAAGGAUAUAAAACACCUGUAUUUAGCAGAGCAGAUGCUGCUUUUAUGGUUAGAUGCGCAGAUGAAAUUGACUUCUAAAGGACCAUCUAUAACUUACUUCCCUAUUAUUUGUUUCUACAUUUGUUUCGUUAUGUAUGUUGUAGGUGCAGGAGGAAAUUUAACCCUGGAUUUCACACCUGCACAGCCAAAAGUCAGACGUUGAAUGAGACAUGAGAACAUGGGAGAGUCUGGGGACCUGGGAGCAGAGCAACCAUGGUGGAAUAGAGGCAAAGGAAAUGAACAAGCUCUUCAAUUUUCUGUGUCGCUCCUUGCUGUGUACCCUGGACCCUAAGAACUCCCAGCUUCCAGGCCCACACAGUUUUGCUGAUCACGAAUGAAAUCUUGAAGAACAUCCAUCUCUUGUCCACAUUUCUGCUCUACUUAAAAAAAAAAAACAUAACAAACAAACAAAAACUGGAAGCCAACAAUGGAAAAGAGGGACCAGGAAGACAAGAAGUGAACAUCUUAAAGAAAGAUAUUAAGUGUCUAAAGGCAUGAAGAUGACUUGUGUUUAUUUGGGAAUAAUCUAGAUGCUUUGCACCUGGAGCAGAAAGAACACAAUUAAUGGUGAAGGACUUGUCCAAAUGAUGAGAAAAAAUUCACAAUGUGGGCCCACUCUACAUCUCUGAAAGGAAGAAGUCAGCAAACAUCCCUAAGGGCCUACCUUUCAGCUAUUUGUUUCACUUACUCCACUUAAAAAUUUCCAAGGGACAUGAACAGAGACAAGAUCUAUUUUGAAAGUGCAAUUUACACUCUCAAGGUGUCCUAUGUUAGCUAGCACGUUAGUGAAAAAUAAGCCAACCGGUAGGAAAGAAGAUGACAAUGAAACAAGGGAGAGUGUGGGCAUAGAUAUUAAUAUUAAAUGGGUCAGGUUAAAGUUAAAUUAAUUCACUGUCUUUUAUGCUGUAUGUUAAACUGGCAAUCCAUGAAAGUUAGAUGCACAGAAAUAAUGUUCAGUCUUUCAUUCAAAGUUUCCACAGCAUUUCAUCUAGGUAAAGACGUUACACCUAAUAUAUGAACUUUUUUAAAAAAAGGAAAGAAGACCUGUGCUUUAAAAUAAAUGUUUCUUUUUUUCUCAUUAUAAAAUAAUACCACACACUCCUUUUAGAAAAACAAUAAGGACAGUAUAAGAAAACAAUUAAAAUGACAAUAAUCUUACUAUCAAGUGAUAAGCACUACUACUAUUUUUGAUACAUUUUCUACAAUAUCCCUUUUGAUACAUUUUCUAUAAUAUCCCUACAUUAUUAUAGUAUUCAAAUAAUAGCCCACUUAGUAUUCUUUUAUUACAUGUUAAGAUUGGUCCUCAUUUUUAAAAUAUUACAAACAAAACUCUGAUGAAUAUCCUGGUACAACUGUCAUAUGCUUACUUAUUACUUUAUCAGGUUUAAAAAAUUAUUUUCCACACAACAUCUAUUUUAUCUUUUUUUCCAAUUCAUGGUACAUGUUUUUCUUAUUAAGCUGGAAUUGUUCUUCAUAUGUUAAAGAUAUUAACAUUUGUAAUAUGUGUCUCAAAUGUUCCCCCAAUUUUUUAUCCAUCUCUUAAAUUAUGAUGUCUUUAUUGAUUUGCAGAAGUUGUCCAGAUGUAUUUAUCUUCUUUUGGUGUUUCUUCCAUUGCUUUUGAAAGUCCUUCAUCACCCUGAGAUCAAUAAAAUAUUGGUCAAGAAAAUAUUAUAUUUUAUCCUCAUUUUGAAAAGCAUGCAUGACAUUAUUGCUUGUUGUUUUUAAAAGACAAAAGAGAUGCAUAAAGUAAAAGAAGAAAUUGCUUUGUGCCCCUCUUGCCACCUUCCACCCAUCCCUGUCCACAUAUGCUCUUUCAAGUUUUUAUAAUUCUACUGUUUACACUUCACUUUUUAAUUUCAGAUGAAAGUUAUUUUGUUAUAUGGUCUGAGGUGACAAUCUAACUUGAGGAUUUUAUGUUUUUCAAAUAGCCAUUUUUUCCAACACCAUUGUUGAAUAAUUCAUUUCUUCUUUCUUGGUUUGUGACAGGCCCAUAUUUUUUGAGUUACAAAGACAGGAAAUUCACAAUGACAUUAUGCAACAAAAAUAACCUGCUUUCAGUGCUUGAAUACACGACUGGCUAAGCACGUGGUUAUUCAUACACCUACACUCUAUGUGGAGGCAGAGCAUGUCACUGUAGGGCAAGAGAUUGGAUUGUCCAUUUUUAACAGAAUGUUCUAAUUUGCUGAACCACACAAGUCUUUAAUUUUUCAGUUCAGUUCAGUUCAAUUCAACUGACUUAAUUUCAACCACCGUUUAGUAAUGCGUAUUAUGUGCAUUCAC
rnacentral:lncRNA from 1 species